UUCUAUAAAAUUAUAGAACAUUUUAUGCUAAAACUAGUAACAAGAGCUUACCACUCUCUACAAUGCAAGUAUAAGCCAGAGAGAACCCAUCACUGGCAAAUAACAGACCUAAAUUCAAGUAGCAACCCCUCCCCGAAAACACUACCCCACCUUAACUGUUAACCUAACACCAGAGCAUUCCAAGAAAGAUUAAAAGAGAGAGAAGGAAUUCCGCAAAUAUUAGUUUCGCCUGUUUACCAAAAACAUCGCCUCUUGUAGAUCAGUAAGAGGUCUAGCCUGCCCAGUGACUCUGUUCAACGGCCGCGGUAUCCUAACCGUGCAAAGGUAGCGUAAUCACUUGUCCCCUAAAUAGAGACUAGUAUGAAAGGCACCACGAAAACUAAACUGUCUCCUCCCUCUAAUCAGUGAACCUAAUAACCCCGUGAAGAAGCGGGGAUCUCAAUAUAAGACGAGAAGACCCUAUGGAGCUUAAAACACUUCAUCACCUGCCACCCAUCUAUUUACCCUGGCACGCUGAUUACAUGUUUUUGGUUGGGGUGACCGCGGAGAAAAGCCCAUCCUCCGCAAUGUGGGAAUCCUCCCUAAGCAGUAAGUCACAACUUUAUAUAUCAGAAAACUGACAUUAUUGACCCAAUAUAUUUGAUUAACGAACCAAGUUACCCUAGGGAUAACAGCGCAAUCCACUUCAAGAGCCCAUAUCGAC
rnacentral:rRNA from 1 species